GGCUGGAGUGGCUGGGAUUUGCUGCUUUUUUUUUAAUUUCCUCCCUAUGCUUCCUUCCCCUCUUCCGCUUUCUUCUCCCUCCAUCCCGGCCCUCUCCCGAUGCUCGGGCACAUUGCGGGCUCCCUGGGAGGGGAUGAGAGGCUGCUGGGCCGAGCGGGGCACGGAGGGCUUUAUCGGUGCCGUCGGGAAGACGCUUCCAUGCAGGGGCACAUGGAGGGGCCCCGUCCCGCAGAGCCCCUCCGGGGCCCCCACGCCGUGCUGGAGGGCAAAGUGAAGGCGCUGAAGGAGAAGCGUGGAGCCGAGCGGCCCUCGCCCAAGAAGGCCCGUGCCCGCAAGGGGAAGGCUGGAGCUGAGGAACAGCGGGUGCAGCUCCGCACGUACCUGACUGAUGGGCUGCUGGAUGGCACUGCAUCGUGGGGGGAGCGGGGGGGGCUGGGGGGCUCUCCCCCUUUGGUCUCUGCUAGCAAGGAGGUGACGGAGGGCCCGGAGCCACUGUCCUUGGCUGAGAGGGUGGAGAGGAACCGGCAGCUGCUGCACGAGGUGCUGGGGAUGCAUGAGGUGCCAGCAAGUGAUGGCGACUGGGACUCAGGGGUCUCACUGCAGGAUGCUGAGGGCUGCAGGGCCUUUGUUCCCGGGCAGGAGCUCGAGCUGAGCCCACGCCAUGAGCAGGCCAAGCAGCUGCUGCAGCGCGCCCGCAUGAAGGCUCGCACCAACCCGCUGCGCGCCAGCCACGACCUCCUGCUGCUGCCCACCGCCGCGCACCCCAGGGAGCCCAGCGGGACACCGAGGCCCAGCGUCACCACAAGAGAGGUGGAGGGCCCGGCGGGCGGCAGUCUGAGCGACUCAUCCAGCGGGGAGUCGGGCUGCAGGGAGCCCCGGCGGCCACGGGGACCCUCCCCGUCCCGUGUGCGCUUUGAGGACGAGUCGGCCCGCGACGCUGAGGUGCGCUACCUGGAGCGGCUGCGGCACCGCCGGGUGCUGGGCUCAGCACUGGAGCGCAGCGGUGGAGAGCCCCGUGGGCACCCCGGGGAUGGCCCUGCCAAAUCCCGUGGUGGUGAUAUCCCUGCUGGGGGCAAGUGCCAGGCCUGUGGCUCCCUGCUCGGUGCCGCCGUGCCGGCUGAAGGCAGCCCCAUGGCACGGGGACGGGAGCGCACGGGUCCUGGUGCUGCUGCCCAGCCUGAACCCAAGGCCCGGCCGCUGGGUCCUGGGGGGUCCCCGCUCUGGAUCCUGCCUUCCCGGCAGCGCAUUCACACUGAGAAGAUCAAGGAGACUUAUAUCGGGAACGUCGCCCGUGGGGAUGAGGCAGACUCGGCACUGGAGAGCACCGACACCUCCGAUGGCUGCCGCACCGACAGCGAGGAGCCGCGGCCCCGCAGCCCCCACCCACGGGGGCAUCGGGAGCCCCGGGUUCGUGGCCACCGCAGCCCCCGCACCCUAACGCAAAAGGAGAAGGUCAUGAGUGUGGCCGGGGGCUCGGGGACGCUUUGUCCCCCACCAGCGGGUACAGCUGGCAGCCAGGAUGGGGGGCACACCGGUGAGAUGGUGGGCAAAGGAGAGCCACUGGUCCCCUCCUCGAGGCCAGCGGGGCCUUCCCACACCCCCUCCAUCAUCACCACUACAAAGGCCUGCUCCCAGGUGCCUUGCAGGACAAGUGUCCCUGCUAGCAGCCACCAGUGUCCAGAGCCUGAUGCUGGGAGCACUUUGCCCCAACCUAAGGGUGUGGGGCAGCGGCGGGGGCCCUGUGGCCCUGUGUGGCUCCCGGGGAGCCCCCUGCGUGCCUUGUCCACUAAUAACUGCAACAACACCCACGGACAGGGCUGUAGGAGCCGCCCCCAUGGGCUGGGGACACAACCUGGGGAGACCACCAGGACGCCCGAGGCACAGCACGAUGGGAACGCAACACCUGGGGAGCCAGCACGGGCAACAAGCCGGAAGGGCAGUGGGGAUGCGGCAUCCUCAGGGCUGAAGCGGCUCCUGUGCAGCCUGAGCCAGAGCACCAAGCAGCGCCUGGGCCGCUUCCGCUGCUACAGCAUGGAGCAGCUGCCCGGCCCUGCACCCAAUGGCCCCAGCGUGAAGCGGUCGCCCUCACUGCAGGCACUGGUGUCACCAUUCCGCCAGCCCCAAAAAGCCGCUUCCAUACAGAGCCUGCACAGCCUGCUGGGCAGGGCGCCCCGAGCCAAUGCGUACCUGCUGUCCCAGCCUGGGGACGGGGACAGGAAGGCAGCCUCAGGGCCACGGCACUCGCUGAGCGUGGAGGACAUCGGUGCACCCGACCGGCCACGCAUAGUGGGGCGUGUGGUGGAGGUGUUCCCCGAUGGCACCAGCCUGCUGGAGAUAGAACGGCCACCACACGGCUCCUUCGGCUUCCAGGUCACCUCCGGGCACGGCCGGCCCGACACAGGUGUCUACGUGCAGGAGAUGGCGGACGCGGGCACAGCCAAGCUGUAUGCGGGGCUGCUGGGGGUGGGCGAUGAGAUCCUGCAGGUCAACGGGGCUGCUGUGUCGGGCCUGGGGCUGGCACGCAUCCGGGAGCUGCUGCUGCAGGCAGACAGCCUGGCCCUGCGUGUGCUAAGGCAGCGCCCGGCUCGGUGGUAGCGGCGCGGCUCCAGGAGGAGUGGAGCAGUCUGCAGGUGCUGCCAGAGUCCUGCAUGGAGCUAAAGUGCAACAAGGACCUCACCAAGACAAAGGGCCUGGAUCUGCCCUGCUUAUGUGCAAUGCGCGGGUCCCUGCGGGGAUGGGGACGGCAGGGCAUCCUGGCAGGCAACGUGGGACAAGGACCUGCCCCUGGCAUGGGGACAUCUCAGCUCUCCGGCCCUGGAUUCUCCCUGCCUCAGUUGGAAACCUCUGCCCGUGAGCUGCUUCUCCUGCCUUGGUGCCCAGGCUGGGGUGUGCUGUCUGCUCCUGAUGGGAUGGAGCUGCUGCACUCUGGUGCCACACAGGCAAAGAGCCCCCAAGCUUGUCCCCGUUACCACAAAAGAGACCGGUGUUUUCCUCUGCCGUCACACACCGGCAGCAGCAAUGCGUUUAUUUAGGAUUCAAGAGAGGGGCAACACCACCAACAGAAAAAGCAAAGGCAGUUGGGUAGCAGUGACACCUGGACAGACACGGAGCACGGCAGCAGGGCUGCAACCUGGCACAGUGUGCGAACAGAGCACUCCUGCGUGGAGCAUCAGGAGCCACUCCUGGACGACAUACAACCGUACUGAAAACCCACUCUCAGAGAGGUCUGAAGCCCAGAGCACUGUGCAGACACUGCCAGAGCCUGCCUUCGGAAAGAGACAGUAUGUAUUUCUUACAGCAUAACCAAAAGAGACAAGAUGUUGUGCAAUGACUGAGAGAACUGCCAAGAUCACUUGUGCAGGUUGGCGUUAAGGGCACGUGUGCGUUCAUUACAAGAGGAGAUGCUCCAACCUGGCAGGGCUGUUGGGUCUCCCCUCAUCCCAAGCCUGGCUGCAAAAGGGGCACAGUGCUACCAGUGCGUGCAAGGGCUCAAUAGGAGGGACUGGGCAGACCCAAACAGAGCCAGAAACCACCAGGGCUAUGUGUCCUGGGUGACAGAGUGCUUCAGGUGCCGAAUUUCCUUUCUGUGGAGUGUGGUUCUGGAGGCCUGGUUUGCAGUGUCAGCACCAGUCAGCUUCCUCCCCCAGCCCCAUCUGAGACCCAGAUGGAAGGUGCAAGUCAGCCUGCCUCCCAUCUUUUGCUGCUCUUCCCCCUCCUAAAGACAGGAGCAGACUUCACUGCAAAUCUUUUUCUUUCCUGAAGCAUCACCCCUUCCUCCUGUAAUCAACUGCACAAAACCCAUCUGUAUUUCUCCCCAGUAGCACUGCCAGGGU